rnacentral:ncRNA from 11 species
CGGGGUGGCGACUGUUUAUUAAAAAGUGCGACAAGAAGUUCAGGAAGGGAUUGAGGUGAAAGUCCUCCUCCCGAAUCGUUCAUGGGAGAGUCUAUCCAGACUUGCGUAGCGAGUAAUCGCUAGGUGAGAAGCUCUGGAGACAAUGUACCUGCCCUUCAAUUGGAGGUGCCAGGGCUAGGCUUUGUUCCUAUGGCUAGCGAAAGCGAAUACAGGUUAUUAGGCGUCGUGAAAACAAAACUCUUUAUUUAUAGAGAGGCUCGUAGAUGAGUUACCCUCCUUUUUAUGGGGUAACUGAACGAUCAAUAUCUACCGGCGUAGACUGUGAGCCUAAAGGAAACGAAUGAAAGUGUCCCUUCCUGGGAACUUGGUAAGCCCAAUAGACUCCCUUGUGGAGGAGUAAGAGCAAUCUUACUUAUCGUCUAGUGGGUAAAAGACAUAAUAGGAAGCAAAUGCUUGGUUGUAACGAUCGAGAUAGAAUCUGUUGAUUUAAGCUGAAAGGCUGCAGACUUAUUAAAUGGGUGUUCUGGCCUAGGUAUUGAUAAUAAUAAUAUUCCGAGUGAAGAUUUGUGUAAGUUUUCGGCUUAGUCCAUUCUAAGUCAAAAUCAGAAGAACUUGCUCUAAGGAAAUCAUUUUGAAAACAUGAGUAUUCCAUAUAUAAUUCCUUUCAAUUGGCAUGACAUAGAUUGGGCUAACGUCCAGUCGAAAGUCUGUUAUUAUCAAAAUAACCUCGCAGUAGCCGAACUAAAAGGUGAUUCUGGUUUAGUUACCAAACUACAAAGAAAUCUCGUAAAUUCCUUUGCUGGACGAGCCCUUGCAGUACGUGCCAUCACGACUAACAAGGGUAAGAACACACCAGGAAUCAAUGGGGAGAUUUGGGACACAUCUAUUAAGAAAUUGGAUGCAAUCCACAGGUUAGGGAGAGUAUCAAAUUACUCUUGUUCCCCUGUAAAAAGAGUAUACAUACCAAAGUCCGGUGGAAAACUUCGUCCGCUAGGUAUACCUAAUAUGUAUGAUCGAGGAUUGCAGUAUUUAUGGAAAUUGGCUCUGGACCCAAUAGCUGAGUGUCGGGCUGACCGGCAUUCCUAUGGGUUUCGAAAGGGUAGGAGCACGCAGGACGUUCAUACGAUACUGCAUUUGCUUCUUAGCCCCAAAAGUAGAUGUGAUUGGGUUUUGGAAGCUGAUAUCAGGGGCUUCUUUGAUAACAUCAACCAUGACUGGAUCAUACAGAAUAUACCAAUGGACAAAAAUAUUCUUCGGGAAUGGUUAAAAGCAGGUGCUCUAGAAACAACAACUCAGGAGUUUCAUAAGGGUAUUGCUGGAGUACCACAAGGAGGACCAAUUUCACCUUUAAUUGCAAACAUGACGUUGGAUGGUUUAGAAGUUUGGGUGGCUAACUCUGUUAAACAUCUCUAUAAAAAGAGUAAAGAAACUAGUUGGUCCCCGAAAGUAAACGUGGUAAGGUAUGCGGAUGACUUCGUCGUUACCGCUGCAACAAAACGAAUACUCGAGGAUAUAGUGAAACCGUCAAUUCAAGAUUUCCUGGCUUCUCGUGGCCUAGUUCUUAAUCAAGAGAAGACUUGCAUCACUAGCGUAAAGAAAGGCUUCGAUUUUGUUGGGUUUAACUUCCGGGUUUACCCCGAUAAGUCUGGUCCGAAAGGCGCAAAAUCGAUUGUUAAACCGACAAAAGAAGGCAAAAGAAGGCUCCGAUCCAAGAUAAGAAAUGCUGUGAAGACAAAUAAAAGCUCUGGAGAAAUUAUAGUGGAGUUAAACCCAAUCCUUCGAGGUUGGGCUAAUUACUAUAAGGCGACCUCAGCAAAGAAAGUCUUUACAUCGAUUGGUAAAUAUGUAUGGGAUAAAACCUGGACAUGGGCCAAAAGAAAGCAUAGGCAAUUAAAUUUCCGUGACCUUGCGAAGUUAUAUUAUACACGACGCAAGAAAAGGAAAUGGAUCUUCAAAGGAGAAUGGAUGGACAAGGAAUUGACUAUUUUCUUGAUAGAUAGUGUUGCGAUUAGGCGACAUUCUCUGGCAAGGAAUUACAACCCUUAUCUGCUUGACAACGAAGAUUACUUUAUCGAGCGAAACAAAAGACUUUCCUCAUCGAACCUUUGGAACGAGAGACAUAGUAAGUUGUUGCGUAGGGAUAAGUAUAAAUGUAAAGUAUGUAACGAAUACAUUUGUGGUGAGGAUAAAGUUGAAAUUCAUCACAUCAAACCUAAAAGUUUAGGUGGUGAUGAUGCUAUAUCCAAUAACGUGGUUUUACACGCGGAGUGUCAUAAACAGCUGACACACACUAAAUCAAGAAGCCUUUUGGCUCGAUUUGAAAGAGGCAAGAUCUUGAACAUUUAAUUAUGUUUAGUGAAUCUUUUUCUCUAACGAAAAGCAGAAUGCGUGAGCCGUGUGCGAUGAAAGUCGCAAGCACGGUUCUGAUGGGGGGAAAACGAGAGAUCGUCUACCUAUCCAACUCACAGGUCUCU